rnacentral:rRNA from 1 species
CCUACGGGUGGCAGCAGUGGGGAAUAUUGGACAAUGGGGGCAACCCUGAUCCAGCCAUGCCGCGUGUGUGAAGAAGGCCCUCGGGUUGUAAAGCACUUUCAGUGAGGAAGAACGCCUGGUGGUUAAUACCCAUCAGGAAAGACAUCACUCACAGAAGAAGCACCGGCUAACUCCGUGCCAGCAGCCGCGGUAAUACGGAGGGUGCGAGCGUUAAUCGGAAUUACUGGGCGUAAAGCGCGCGUAGGUGGCUUGAUAAGCCGGUUGUGAAAGCCCCGGGCUCAACCUGGGAACGGCAUCCGGAACUGUCAAGCUAGAGUGCAGGAGAGGAAGGUAGAAUUCCCGGUGUAGCGGUGAAAUGCGUAGAGAUCGGGAGGAAUACCAGUGGCGAAGGCGGCCUUCUGGACUGACACUGACACUGAGGUGCGACAGCGUGGGUAGCAAACAGGAUUAGAUACCCCAGUAGUC